UUGAAGGACUGAAGGUCAUAAGCAGAGUAGUAGUAUGAAAGGCUGUGGAGAGCUUUAAAGAAAAGGGUUUGUGCUAGAAGAUGCAGAAAGUAAUGGGGAAACCAUUGUAAGGAUUUAAGGAGGGUGAAUUAUUUUGACAGUUAAGUGCUUGACAGUGCUGAGAGGACAGAGGUAUAACCAGGAAGAAACUAUGAUGAACUUUCCCAGGGCUGACCCUAUCAUUAGGCACAGUGAAGGGUCUGACUCUGGCAGCAGUUACUGAAAAGUGGGCAGUGGCAGUGAGGAACUGGAGGACAGAGCUGUGUGUCUCAUAUCCUGCCUGCACACGCACACACACACCCCGCUGCCCUCAGGUGCAGCAGAAGACAACGACCCAUCACAAGUGUUGGAAGAAUGAUUCAGCAGAUGGCCCAGUCAGCUUCUGCAAGGGAAACGGAGGGGGGUACCAUCACUGUAGACAGUUCUCCUGACUCCCGCUGCUUCCUGGUAUUAGGGCAGACCCGAUGCAAGGUUUCUCCAAACAUUCUUUGAAGACUGUGCCCGCCCCACCUCCACCAAUUGCAGAGAGCACAUCUCCCAUGAACUGGGGCAGCAGAAAGCAGGACACAUAACUAAAUCUAUCCUUCAAUAGCUAGGCUACCACUUCUUUCAUUAAAUAAGAGCUGAAUAUUGUA